rnacentral:rRNA from 1 species
GUCGAUAGCCAUGCUACCCUGAACAAGCCAGAUCUCGUCUGAUCUCAGAAGCUAAGCAGGGUCGGGCCUGGUUAGUACUUGGAUGGGAGACUAUCGAAGGAAGACCAGGUGCUGUAGGUG